GACGAACGCUGGCGGCGCGCCUAACACAUGCAAGUCGAACGAGCGAGAGAGAGCUUGCUUUCUCGAGCGAGUGGCGAACGGGUGAGUAACGCGUGAGGAACCUGCCUCAAAGAGGGGGACAACAGUUGGAAACGACUGCUAAUACCGCAUAAGCCCACGGGUCGGCAUCGACCAGAGGGAAAAGGAGCAAUCCGCUUUGAGAUGGCCUCGCGUCCGAUUAGCUAGUUGGUGAGGUAAUGGCCCACCAAGGCAACGAUCGGUAGCCGGACUGAGAGGUUGAACGGCCACAUUGGGACUGAGACACGGCCCAGACUCCUACGGGAGGCAGCAGUGGGGAAUAUUGCACAAUGGGGGAAACCCUGAUGCAGCGACGCCGCGUGGAGGAAGAAGGUCUUCGGAUUGUAAACUCCUGUUGUUGGGGAAGAUAAUGACGGUACCCAACAAGGAAGUGACGGCUAACUACGUGCCAGCAGCCGCGGUAAAACGUAGGUCACAAGCGUUGUCCGGAAUUACUGGGUGUAAAGGGAGCGCAGGCGGGAAGACAAGUUGGAAGUGAAAUCUAUGGGCUCAACCCAUAAACUGCUUUCAAAACUGUUUUUCUUGAGUAGUGCAGAGGUAGGCGGAAUUCCCGGUGUAGCGGUGGAAUGCGUAGAUAUCGGGAGGAACACCAGUGGCGAAGGCGGCCUACUGGGCACCAACUGACGCUGAGGCUCGAAAGUGUGGGUAGCAAACAGGAUUAGAUACCCUGGUAGUCCACACCGUAAACGAUGAUUACUAGGUGUUGGAGGAUUGACCCCUUCAGUGCCGCAGUUAACACAAUAAGUAAUCCACCUGGGGAGUACGACCGCAAGGUUGAAACUCAAAGGAAUUGACGGGGGCCCGCACAAGCAGUGGAGUAUGUGGUUUAAUUCGACGCAACGCGAAGAACCUUACCAAGUCUUGACAUCCCUUGACAGGCAUAGAAAUAUGUUUUCUCUUCGGAGCAAGGAGACAGGUGGUGCAUGGUUGUCGUCAGCUCGUGUCGUGAGAUGUUGGGUUAAGUCCCGCAACGAGCGCAACCCUUAUGGUCAGUUACUACGCAAGAGGACUCUGGCCAGACUGCCGUUGACAAAACGGAGGAAGGUGGGGAUGACGUCAAAUCAUCAUGCCCUUUAUGACUUGGGCUACACACGUACUACAAUGGCGUUAAACAAAGAGAAGCAAGACCGCGAGGUGGAGCAAAACUCAGAAACAACGUCCCAGUUCGGACUGCAGGCUGCAACUCGCCUGCACGAAGUCGGAAUUGCUAGUAAUCGUGGAUCAGCAUGCCACGGUGAAUACGUUCCCGGGCCUU
rnacentral:rRNA from 1 species